UACAGAGGGGCAAGCGUUAUUCGGAAUUAUUGGGCGUAAAGGGCGCGUAGGCGGCUUUGCAAGUGACGGGUGAAAUCCCUCGGCUUAACCGAGGAACUGCCUGUCAGACUGCAUGGCUUGAGACCGGGAGAGGUGAGUGGAAUUCCCAGUGUAGCGGUGAAAUGCGUAGAUAUUGGGAGGAACACCAGUGGCGAAGGCGGCUCACUGGACCGGUACUGACGCUGAUGCGCGAAAGCGGUGGGGAGCAAACAGG
rnacentral:rRNA from 1 species